AGGGGAGGGUUUAACCAACAAGAGCUGCUAACUCUUACAUCUGAGCCUAAAACCUCAGCCCCCUUACUU
rnacentral:tRNA from 1 species